rnacentral:lncRNA from 1 species
UGUGCUCCCAUGAAAUUGAAUUCACUGCGAGGUGUACCGAAACACCACACAGCCUUCAGGCCCCAUUUAAAUCUGCCAAAAAAAGCGUGGAAAGGAUGUUUGGAUCGCUUUGUAUUGCCUCAUUCGUGCCUGCCAUUGUGCCAGCUCUCUCCUGAACCCAGGCUCCCUGUCCUGAAGUUGCAACAUGUUCUAUACAGAUUCACCCAUUACAGCUCCAUGACUGCUAUAAGAGGAGGUUUUCAAAAAUUAUGGCCAAGACAGGCAGCCCACCCUACUCCUUCGGACAUCUGGGAUGAUUUGAAAAGUUUGGAGCAUGGGAAGGGCAGGAGCCCUCCUCGGGAGAGGACRGACCUCCUGCUUUGCCAGCCGACACCGCUGGAGAGACAGCACGGAGAGAAGCUGACACCACCUCGCAGUUUGUCCUAG